GAUGAACGCUGGCGGCGUGCCUAAUACAUGCAAGUCGAGCGAACGGACGAGAAGCUUGCUUUUCUGAUGUUAGCGGCGGACGGGUGAGUAACACGUGGAUAACCUACCUAUAAGACUGGGAUAACUUCGGGAAACCGGAGCUAAUACCGGAUAAUAUUUUGAACCGCAUGGUUCAAAAGUGAAAGACGGUCUUGCUGUCACUUAUAGAUGGAUCCGCGCUGCAUUAGCUAGUUGGUAAGGUAACGGCUUACCAAGGCAACGAUGCAUAGCCGACCUGAGAGGGUUCUCGGCCACACUGGAACUGGGACACGGUCCAGACUCCUGCGGGAGGCAGCAGUAGGGAAUCUUCCGCAAUGGGCGAAAGCCUGACGGAGCAACGCCGCGUGAGUGAUGAAGGUCUUCGGAUCGUAAAACUCUGUUAUUAGGGAAGAACAUAUGUGUAAGUAACUGUGCACAUCUUGACGGUACCUAAUCAGAAAGCCACGGCUAACUACGUG
rnacentral:rRNA from 1 species